UGGGAUGGGAUAGUCAUCCUUGGGAGGC
rnacentral:piRNA from 1 species